rnacentral:rRNA from 1 species
GAUGAACGCUGGCGGCGUGCCUAAUACAUGCAAGUCGAGCGAACAGACGAGGAGCUUGCUCCUCUGACGUUAGCGGCGGACGGGUGAGUAACACGUGGAUAACCUACCUAUAAGACUGGGAUAACUUCGGGAAACCGGAGCUAAUACCGGAUAAUAUAUUGAACCGCAUGGUUCAAUAGUGAAAGACGGUUUUGCUGUCACUUAUAGAUGGAUCCGCGCCGCAUUAGCUAGUUGGUAAGGUAACGGCUUACCAAGGCGACGAUGCGUAGCCGACCUGAGAGGGUGAUCGGCCACACUGGAACUGAGACACGGUCCAGACGCCUACGGGAGGCAGCAGUAGGGAAUCUUCCGCAAUGGGCGAAAGCUUGACGGAGCAACGCCGCGUGAGUGAUGAAGGUCUUCGGAUCGUAAAACUCUGUUAUUAGGGAAGAACAAAUGUGUAAGUAACUAUGCACGUCUUGACGGUACCUAAUCAGAAAGCCACGGCUAACUACGUG